rnacentral:rRNA from 1 species
AGAUUGAACGCUGGCGGCGUGCCUAACACAUGCAAGUCGAGGCGGUAACAGGUGUAGCAAUACAUGCUGACGAGCGGCGAACGGGUGAGUAAUGCUUCGGAAUCUACCCACGGGUGGGGAAUAACCAACCGAAAGGUUGGCUAAUACCGCAUAAGUCCUACGGGGGAAAGCGGGGGAUCGAAAGACCUCGCGCCGGUGGAUGAGCCGAAAGCCGGAUUAGCUAGUUGGUAGGGUAAUGGCCUACCAAGGCGACGAUCCGUAGCUGGUCUGAGAGGAUGAUCAGGCCACACUGGGACUGAGACACGGCCCAGACUCCUACGGGGAGCAGC